AGAUGAACGAGCUCUGCAUCUACGUUCAGCAGGACUACAAGCUCUAUCCUAUAUGGUGCGUUUCAUGGGUGAGCACUCACAUCUUUCCAUGGAUUUCGAUGAUAUUAUAUCAGUGACUUUGGAGAAUUACAUGAAUCAUCAAUCUAACUCCAACAAUGUCAAGGAAGAUAACCUGA